GACGGAGGAUGCAAGUGUUAUCCGGAAUCACUGGGCGUAAAGCGUCUGUAGGUGGUCAAAUAAGUCAACUGUUAAAUCUUGAGGCUCAACCUCAAAAUCGCAGUCGAAACUAUUAGACUAGAGUAUAGUAGGGGUAAAGGGAAUUUCCAGUGGAGCGGUGAAAUGCGUAGAUAUUGGAAAGAACACCGAUGGCGAAGGCACUUUACUGGGCUAUUACUAACACUCAGAGACGAAAGCUAGGGUAGCGAAUGGG
rnacentral:rRNA from 1 species